AUUGAACGCUGGCGGCAGGCCUAACACAUGCAAGUCGAGCGAGAGGAGGAAGGGUGAGGAAGGGCGGGGAAACUGCCUGAGGGAGGGGGAUAACUACUGGAAACGGUAGCGAAGACCGCAUACCAUCAGAUGGGGCUCGAUGGGAUUAGCUAGUAGGUGGGGUAACGGCUCACCUAGGCGACGAUCCCUAGCUGGUCUGAGAGGAUGACCAGCCACACUGGAACUGAGACACGGUCCAGACUCCUACGGGAGGCAGCAGUGGGGAAUAUUGCACAAUGGGCGCAAGCCUGAUGCAGCCAUUCCUCGUGUGUGAAGAAGGCCUUCGGGUUGUAAAGCACUUUCAGCCGGGAGGCGUUACCCGCAGAAUAAGCACCGCCUAACUCCGUGCCAGCAGCCGCGUUAAUUC
rnacentral:rRNA from 1 species